UUGUCAGAACCUGAAGAACGAAGGUGUCUAUUUUUCCAUAGAUCAGAUACAGCACAGGCAGCAGCAGUGAACACCCCUUCACAUUAUUCCACUAAUAUACCUCAUCCCUGGCCUAGAGGGAUGAGGAUGAGAAGAUGAGAAGUUAGUUCGGUCUCCAUGGUCCAUUCAGUCCCAGACUUCU
rnacentral:sRNA from 1 species